rnacentral:lncRNA from 1 species
CUUAGUAUUUGAGGAAUUUCUUUACAUUCAGGAAAUGUUGGUCAGCACAUGGCAGUGAGGAAGAGCCUAGAAAAUGUGAUAUGACUGCUUUACUACUUAACAAUUCUCCCUUUCUUGGCUGAUUUAGCAUUCAAACCUUUCAAAGGAGACUUGGUACUGGUUGAGUAUUCCAUGAAUGCAGGCACUUCAAACAUCAAUAUCCACUCUGUGAGCCCCCUCAACUCUCAGGAUAUGAAUGAGGUCUGUGUUACUAGCAUUGAUGGAAGAAAUGGCAUGAUGGAAGCCAGAGUCUUUUUCACCCUCGACUCUCUCCAU